rnacentral:rRNA from 1 species
AUUGAACGCUGGCGGCAGGCCUAACACAUGCAAGUCGAACGAGUGGCGGACGGGUGAGUAAUGUCUGGGAAACUGCCUGAUGGAGGGGGAUAACUACUGGAAACGGUAGCUAAUACCGCAUACCAUCGGAUGUGCCCAUAUGGGAUUAGCUAGUAGGUGGGGUAAAGGCUCACCUAGGCGACGAUCCCUCGCUGGUCUGAGAGGAUGACCAGCCACACUGGACCUGAGACACGGUCCAGACUCCUACGGGAGGCAGCAGUGGGGAAUAUUGCACAAUGGGCGCAAGCCUGAUGCAGCCAUGCCGCGUGUAUGAAGAAGGCCUUCGGGUUGUAAAGUACUUUCAGCGGGGAGGCGUUACCGGCAGAAGAAGCACCGGCUAACUCCGUGCCAGCCGCCGCGGUAAUUC